rnacentral:rRNA from 1 species
CUACGUAGCUCAGAGUUUGAUCCUGGCUCAGGACGAACGCUGGCGGCGUGCCUAACACAUGCAAGUCGAACGGAGCAGAGACUUCGGUUCUUGCUUAGUGGCGAACGGGUGAGUAACGCGUGAGAAACCUGCCUUUCAGUGGGGGACAACAGUUGGAAACGGCUGCUAAUACCGCAUAAUGUAUCGAGAGGGCAUCCUCUUGAUACCAAAGAUUUAUUGCUGAAAGAUGGUCUCGCGUCUGAUUAGCUAGUUGGUGAGGUAACGGCUCACCAAGGCGACGAUCAGUAGCCGGUCUGAGAGGAUGAACGGCCACAUUGGGACUGAGAUACGGCCCAG